GCUGCCUCUGACGUCCCUUGCCCAGUGUCUGGUGGAGGGGGCCGCAAUUUUGGGGGAUGAGUCACUCCUGGGGAAGAUGCUGAAGCUGUGCGGGGACACGGAGGAGAAGCUGGCGCAGGAGCUGCUGCUGUUCGAGCUGCAGAUUGAGCGGGACGUGGUGGAGCCGCUGUACAUGCUGGCUGAGGUGGAAAUCCCCAACAUUCAGAAACAGAGGAAACAUUUAGCUAAACUAGUUUUGGAUAUGGAUUCAGCACGGACUCGGUGGCAGCAGUCCUCCAAGUCCUCGGGUCACCCCAGCAACCUGCAGCAGGGCGGAGCCAAGGCCGACGCCCUCAGGGAGGAGAUGGAGGAGGCUGCCAAUCGCAUGGAGAUUUGCAGGGAUCAGGUGUCCGCAGAUAUGUACAACUUUGUGGCCAAAGAAAUAGACUAUGCAAACUACUUUCAGACGCUAAUAGAGCUGCAGGCAGAGUACCACAGGAAGUCUCUUGAAGUCCUCCAGAGCGUCCUUCCCCAGAUUAAGGCACACCAGGAGGCCUGGGUAGAGAAGCCAUCUUUCGGGAAGUCCCUGGAGGAACACCUGACCCUGACUGGACGUGAGAUCGCAUUCCCCAUCGAGGCUUGCGUGACCAUGCUGCUAGAGUGCGGCUUGCAGGAAGAGGGCCUGUUCCGGGUGGCUCCCUCGGCCUCCAAGUUGAAGAAGCUGAAAGCAUCGCUGGACUGUGGCGUCUUGGAUGUGCAGGAGUACUCGGCGGACCCGCACGCUAUUGCAGGCGCAUUGAAAUCCUACCUGCGUGAACUGCCGGAGCCGCUGAUGACCUUUGAACUUUACGACGAUUGGAUCUAUGCCUCCAAUAUCCAGGAUCAGGACGUAAGGCUACAAGCCUUGUUGUCGACAUGUGAGAAGCUGCCCACGGACAACGUCAACAACUUCAGGUACCUGAUCAAAUUCCUGGCCAAGCUGACUGAGUACCAGGACAUCAAUAAGAUGACGCCAGGGAAUAUAGCCAUUGUGCUGGGGCCCAACCUGCUGUGGCCGCAGACCGAGGGGAACAUCACGGAGAUGAUGACCACUUUGUCACUGCAGAUCGUGGGCAUCAUUGAGCCGAUCAUCCUGCACGCUGACUGGUUCUUCCCAGGCGACAUCGAGUUCAACCUGACAGGUAGCUAUGGCAGCCCGAUCCACACCAACCACAACUCCAACUACAGCUCGAUGCCUUCGCCUGACAUGGACCACUCCGAGCGCAAGCAGCACGACCAGAGCCGGCGCCCGCUCAGCGUCGCCACCGACAACAUGAUGCUGGAGUUCUACAAGAAAGAUGGCAUAAGGAAGAUACAAAGCAUGGGUGUCCGGGUGAUGGACACUUCAUGGGUAACCCGCAGGGGCUCCUCCACUCUGGCCCGCAAGACGUCCUCCACCCCCCCUGGCGCCCAAGCCCCCGACGCCCUCAUCCCUGAGCUGCCCGCCGAGCCGGGCCCUUCCCCUACCCCGUCCCCCGCCACUGGAGACCGAGCCAGCUCGGAUGACGUGUCGUCCAAUCGGUCGGACUCCUGUUCCGCCUACCCGCCCCCAGGGGAGGCCAGGCCCCCCCCUCCUUACCCCACCUCCUGCUACCCCUCCUCAUUCCAUGUUUACCAGCGACCCCAGCCUUGUGCGCGUCCUGUCGCCCCCGGCCCUGAGUCUGUACCCCCCGGUGGCUCGCCCCCGCUCCUCCGCUGGACUGGCUACAGCCCCCCGCUGCCGCCUCCUUCCUGCUCCUCCUCUUCCUCCUCCUCCUCCUCCUCCUCCGCCUCUUCCUCCCAGCAGCUUGACAUCAACUCGAACCCUAAACCCAGCUGCCUGCACCUCCCCAAGCAGGGCUCGCUCUGCGAUGCUUUGCAUGGCGCCCCACCUGAGGCAAACGCCUCUUCCCUCUACAUGAAAACCCCCCUGGUCCUGAGCAGACACGAGCCGUCACUCGGCACCCCCCUUAAUGCCCCCCCGCCCGGCCCUUCCGGCCCGCCGCCUUGGGUCAGCUGUGCCUGUGUUGGAGACAGAGCAGCCAGGCAGACUAGCUCGCUGAAGAACAAGGAGCCGUCUCCUGUGAUCGGGCACAAGGCAGUGCAAGUGUCGGGCGCCCUGGCGCUCUCUGGCUGCGGGCCGCAGGGUGGCAGCCAGUCACAGCUGACUACUGAGCAGAGCCCUCACUCCCUGCGCAAAGUGUCCAGGAAGCUGGCUCCCAUUCCACCCAAGGUGCCGUACGGCCAGACUGGGGGGGUGUCGGACCAGUCCACAGGUCAGCCGUCGCCGGUCAGCCUGUCCCCCACGCCCCCCAGCACCCCGUCCCCAUACGGACACGGCCCUAUGGCCUCACCUGGACAGGCCCCGCCCGGGGCACCCCACGCCCUGUCGUCUCCGCCCUCCCUGACGGGCACGCUCACCAAGUCCCGGCCCGCCCCCAAGCCCCGGCAGAGGCCCAGCCUGCCCCCGCCCCAGCCCCCGGUGGCCCCCGGGUCGGGCGGCUCCGGCCCCCAGUCUCUGGAGCCCGGCCUGCUGGACAGCAUGUCCCCCGAAGAGAGUGUGUCCACAGGUAAACCUGCCCACAUGCCCCCUCACCUGGUACCCGGCGAGCACCGGCCCACUCUCUCCGUAUCGCUCUCUUCGACUGGCACUAGCGUGGUCGUCUAGACUCCCGUCACUAGGGGGCGCCUGUCCCAACAAAGGGCAGCGUUGCCUGCAAGAUCCUUCGGUUAUUGCGCUGACAAGCCCUUUCAGAUGCGAUCUACAGCAAAUAACAUGAACUAUAAAUACAUGUAUAUAAAUGGAACAAUAAUAAUAAUAAUUAAUAUAGGCUUGAUAUAUACAUGCAAAUGAUGCAAAGCUACGAAUCUCAACUGGAUGCUUUAUGUUUUUUAUUGACUGAUUCAUCAAGUCUUAUUUUUAUCACCAGUUCUUGUCGAGAAAAUUCACAGGGCGACAUUUUCAGCUCUUGUUGAAAACGGUGCUACACAUAACACUCGCCCUGUGACCGUCAGGAACGUGGUUCCCUUCGUCUGUUGAAUCCUGCUUCCUUUUUUUAACCCUUUCCCUGAAGCCUCAGGGCCUAACCUGUGCUCUCAGUUAUGUCGUUAGUCGGAAAAUCUGUUCACGUGGCGGAUCGGGUGUAAAUCGGUCGUGAAAAGAAAUGGAAGAAGCUGGUUUGACUCCGCCCCUCUCUCUUCACAUAAAUCAAGGGAAUUAAUUCAUUUUAAUUCCAUGCCAGCAGAGGGGGGGGAAGAAGCAUGGGAAAACAUUUACAUAAUAUUUACAUAAAUCAGAUAGUGAUAUUCUAACAUAUUUCUGCAUGCAUUGUAAAAAAAUACAUUACUAUAUAUGGUUUUAUGCUUUACGCAAUAUUAAAAAGCCAUAAAACUACUAUAUCCCUUCCAUCGUAUCAUAGUGUGGCCAAUCGGAACCUUGUGACUUACUUGUUUCCAGGGGAAGGUAUUUGCGGUUGCACCAUCAUACGGCGAGCAGUGCCCAAGCUUUAUUCUUCCCUCAGUGGUGAAGGGGCCCCGGCCAGGGCAGGGAGAGGGUUAAAAUGUCCUCCGUAGCCUUUGAUGGCCUCUGUUCUUACUUUCUGUUACCAUCUCUGUUCUUUCUGUUUUGCUUUUGUCGAUUGUUCUUAUUGUGUACUUCACAGCGGUGUGAGACCAGGGAUUGAGUGUGGGCUAAAUGUGAGGGGGAUUUUUAGGUCAUCCUUUCUGAUACAGCAUCUCCAUCGGACCUCUUCAGUCUGGAAAUGCCCACCAUCAGUAUUGAACUUGAUGGCCUCUUUGAUGAGCUCAGUGGCGCCCCCUGUGGGCGUGCUCUGACAGUGGUGGACUCGCAUGU